CGGGAGAUUGCAAAUAACCUGCUUUCUUUCUGUUCCCGGGCUGCGUUCGGACUCCUGUCAGAUAGUAAAUCCUAAGUAAGGUGGCGUCGGACCCCUGUCAGAGAGUAAAUCUCAAGUAAGGUACCUGCCAUCGGCAGAUUUGAGCUUUCUUCUUGGACACCUAAUACCCACAGUCCUCCAGGCUCCGGUAGACUGCAAAUGACCUGCUUUCUUUCUGUUCCCGGGCUGCGUUUGGACCCCUGUCGGACAGUAAAUCCCAAGAAUGGAACAGAUAAGAAGAUACUGAAAUUGGACGGUGCUGCCGUGCGGCUGCCGCAGGACACCUUUAAUAUCCCUGUUUCUCAGGCUGUAGAUGAAGGGGUUCAGCAUGGAGGUGAUCACCGUGUACAUCACUGAGGCCACUGCAGCCUUUCUCGGGGAAGAUGACACAUCUGAACUGAGGUACCCUCCAAAGCCUGUUCCGUAAAAUCAGCAAACAACUGACAGGAUAACUUCAGGAAGUGGGUAUUAAUUCUCACGGUAUAAGUGAAGACAUUAAGCACCAGAGUUUAAGUAGCUUGAUCCACUGAAAGAGAUUCAACUGUGUGGAACCUAUGCCGUGGAGAAUUGCUUUCUGCCAUUGUUAUCGUCCAGCAGUUGCCGAAUAGCUCUGACCUGAGCAAAGCAGUGAAACGCGGUGCUGUUGAGUGGGUUGCCACUGCACCUUUUUCAACUACUCUAGUCUUGUGGAGAAAAUACCCCUUCUAAAUUUUUUCUUCAUUGAAUACUCUCCCUCAGCUCCAGAGUACCAUAUAGAGUUUUCUUGUAUUUUAGAGUUACUGUUUUAUCAAAGUUUACCAGUCUUUUGUAUUACAUUUCUCCUGUCUAAAUCGACUGUGUGGUUUCUACUCAUUAUGGAUAUAGAUUGAUACAAACUCAAUAAAUAUUUUUG
rnacentral:lncRNA from 1 species